rnacentral:rRNA from 1 species
GAUGAACGCUGGCGGCGUGCCUAAUACAUGCAAGUAGAACGCUGAAGGAGGAGCUUGCUCUUCUGGAUGAGUUGCGAACGGGUGAGUAACGCGUAGGUAACCUGCCUGGUAGCGGGGGAUAACUAUUGGAAACGAUAGCUAAUACCGCAUGACAACAGUUAUUGCAUGAUAACUGUUUAAAAGGGGCAACUGCUCCACUACCAGAUGGACCUGCGUUGUAUUAGCUAGUUGGUGAGGUAACGGCUCACCAAGGCGACGAUACAUAGCCGACCUGAGAGGGUGAUCGGCCACACUGGGACUGAGACACGGCCCAGACGCCUACGGGAGGCAGCAGUAGGGAAUCUUCGGCAAUGGACGGAAGUCUGACCGAGCAACGCCGCGUGAGGGAAGAAGGGUUUCGGAUCGUAAAGCUCUGUUGUAAGAGAAGAACGAGUGUGAGAGUGGAAAGUUCACACUGUGACGGUAUCUUACCAGAAAGGGACGGCUAACUACGUG